rnacentral:rRNA from 1 species
AAACCUGACAGCUCUUUACAUUUGCUGUUCGCCCGGGAACUACGAGCGUAAGCUUAAAACCCAAAGGACUUGACGGUGCUUUAUAUCCCCCUAGGGAGCCUGUCCUAGAACCGAUAAUCCCCGUUAAACCUCACCUUUUCUUGCUCAUUCCGCCUAUAUACCGCCGUCUCCAGUCUACCCUGUAAAGGACCCAUAGUAGGCGAAAUUGGUACAGCCCCAGACGACAGGUCGAGGUGUAGCGUAUGAAAAGGGAAGAGAUGGGCUACAUUCAGUGAAACACUGAAUACGGAAAGCUAAUUGAAAUAUUAACUUGAAGGAGGAUUUAGCAGUAAGUAGAGAAUAGAGAGCCCC